UUGAAAAUGAGAAACAUUGAAGACGUAGACUUUUCCGCGCCAAGUCUUCUAUGCGAAAGCCUGCGGAAACUACAAACUUACCCAUCUUUCUCCCAAGAAGCUUCUAACUCAGCUACUCCAUAUUGACAUUAAACCUUUUUCACUUCUGAUUUCUGAUACAAAAAAAGGGAAAAACAAAGGCUGCCACAAAAUAUAUUUCCACCUGCAAAUUUUGUGAUCAUAAAGCUGAGAGAUCCAAAAUUCAGAUCAAUUUAGGGGCUGAUAGCUUGGUUUCUUGCUGUGAUCAAUCAUGAAUUUUGCAGGGACAUGAGUUUCACAGAGUAGGGAGUUUUGAGGUUGUUUCUUCAUUUGUUUUUGGUGAUCAAUCAUGAAAUAUGUAAGGUUAGUUUCACAUCAAGAAUUCUGUUCUCUCUCUC